rnacentral:piRNA from 1 species
UAUCUGGGGAAAAAUCAUGGUGUCAGU